rnacentral:lncRNA from 1 species
GUCACACAGGACUCCUGAUGCAAGCCUCCACUUUGACCACCCCGCUCCUAUACGAUGAGUGACGUCCCCGUCAAUCUCUCCGUCCCCCUGAAAUACCGACCCAAGAUAUCUGACACUGUCCCUCUUGGCAAUGACCUGAGAUCCAAUCAUCACGUCCCUGCCUACUUCGCUCGGCUCAGCGCUAAGCUUCGCUCGGCUCUAGGUUGCCUACUAUUAAUACUCAAUUUUGUCCUCUUAAGAUUUCAUUCACCCUCGUUUGGCUGUGCAUAUUUUAUAAUAUUUUGAGUACUAUUUUAUUGCAAUUUCUUGAUAUUCCCCUCUAUUACAUGUUUAAAUAUUAAUUUUGCCAUCUACUAUUACUUUUGGCAUUGUUAUAGUAGAUUGAUAUACAAAUAAUUUGGUUUAUGUAGUUCUAUGGUUAUUUUGGUAAAUAAAUUAUUUAAUUUAGUAUUUCUAUAAAUAUUAAUGUAAUAUCAUAUUUUCAAACUAUUUAUGAUUAAUAAAUUAAAUGGCUCUCUUAUAUUUUGUCGAUCCGGAAUCCCACCAUCGAAACUAUGAUGGCGCCCAACAUUCACUUGUUAGGUAAGCCAAUAUUAGCUAGAUUACUUAACCAACUUUAACAAUUUAAAAUAAAGCAUUAAUAAAAAUAAACCGAAAUAGUCUGAGACGAUAUCCAAACAUAUUCCGGAAUCCGGAGUUGAGAAUACAUGAGCAACUAGAGUACUACACAUAUGGUGUGAAGCAAAUACAAUUGUUUAAGACUAGAUAAACAAUCGAAUAGAUAAAGAAGAGGACUUCAAGACAGCGGACGCUAUGCAACUAUAUCUUAAGUCUCCAAAAAUAGCUGAAUUCGAGCAGAACACCACUAGACGCCGCUGGGAUCAACAUCAGUAUUUAUAUAACAAGUACAAAUUAUAGCAUGAGUAUAACCGACCUAAUGUACUCUGUAAGUGUCGAGCCUAACCUCGAUAGAAAAAUGAUGAGGCUAUGACAAGACACCAACAUAGGAUCCUACACACAUACACACAUACAUAUAUAUAUAUAUGUGUGUGUGUGUGUGUGUGUGUGUGUGUAUAGCAACAAAAUAACAAGUAGAACAAUAAAAUAUUAACUGGAAGGGAACAUGUGAAAGGAAAAAUAUCAUAAGGACACAGGAACAAUAUCACCAAAUAGCAUCUUCCGAAAUAAGCAACAAUGUAGCCAAGUAAAGCACCAAUCCAGAAUCAUUAAGGCAGCAAAAUAAAGAUGACACGACACCACCCUUCGUGCUUUUAUUCUCAACCUCCCAUAAUAUGAUAAGUGAUGUUAAAUAAUCAAAUGCAUGGAAUCACCCUUUGUGAUUUAAUUCUCACAACCUCUCAAUAUAUAAUAAUGAAUGCAAAUAAGGCACGGAAACAUCCUUGUGCUUCUCACUCAUCCUCACCAAGCGACAAAAUAAAGCUAAAUAACAUAUGCAAGGCGGGAUUCAAUUAAUUAUAGUGUCGUGAUAACAAAGUCAAUUUUUAAAAUUCCUAACAUAUUCAAAAUGUAAAAGGACUUAAACUGCUCUUAUUGUUUAGUAAAUGGUUUAUUUUCACCCUCCAUCUAUCUAUCUGUCCAAAAAUAUAUACCACGUUAUUUUUAUUAAUAAAAUUGUCCCUCCUUUUAAUAGUGAAACAUGUGGGCCUUCAAAUUAAUGUGAUGACAUGUUUUUAUUGGGCCACGUGGCUCUACGUUCAGAAAUCAAAUAAGGCUACAAUAUCCGCCCAUUAAACGAACCCGACCUAUUUUUUAAACCCCCUUUACCCUUGUAUCUUUCUCAUUUUGACUAACCAAAUUAAAUCUUCUCAACCGUAAUACACCUUUUCCAGCAACCUUUUUCUCCCUCCAUUUUGUUUCUUAUUAUCACUUCUCCAUGAGUCUUUGAGUGUGGUGAUCUUGAAUACAUGGUGCAUCUAUUAAUUGAUUUUGUUAACGUAAUAAAACUCAUAUUCUCUUGUAUUCAGUAAUUCUUGUUGUGGAUGAAAAUUUUGAUUUACCAGAAAAUAUUGGCCUGAAAUUUUGCGGAUUUGUCACCACAAAAAGUAGCAUGAAGCAAGAGAGAAGCAGAAAAAAAUAAUUAAAUUUGUAUGGCAACAGUCAUGGUUUCUCUAUGUUCUUUUCUGAUUAUUUCUUUGGAAAAUAGCAAGUUUAUUCAUUCACAGUAUUCAAAGCUUUUAGUGGGUUUAAGGACCCAUUUUACUAAGGAAAGCAAAUAUUUCCCUACAUAUUCUUUAUGUAAGCAUAUUUUGUAUGUGUCUAUGUAAUACUCACUUUUUGAUCAUAAUUUAAAUACAUAAAUUUUACUUCUUUAAUUUUUCAUAGUUACAGGUGAAGAUAUCUUUAUUGAGUAAAGAGGGUGUGGUGGGCAAUUACUUGAUUGGAAGUGAUGGAGGAGAAAUUAGGUAUUUAGCUACAUUGACAGAAUCAAGAGAAGGUGAUGCAUUUAAUUUUUAAUCUGGAUAAUAAAAGAGGUCGGCUACCCAUAUUUAAUUUCUGAAUGGGAGAGCCAUGUGGCCCAGUAAAAAUAUGCCAGCACAUUAAUUUGAAGGCCCACAUGGUGCACCGUUAAAAGGAGGGUCAAUUUUAUUAAUAAAAAUAACGUGUUAUAUAUUUUUGGACAGAUAGAUGGAUGGAGGAUAAAAAUACAUAUUUAACAAACAAUAGGGAUAGUUUAGGCCCUUUUCCGUAUUCAAAAUAAACAAUAUCUAUGAGGCGAAUAAUUAAAUAGAAUAAUCUACAUAAGCAUGGAGAACAUAUUCAAUGAAAUAAUAUAACACAAAGAAACAAUCUCCAGCCGCAUGUUUUAACCCAAUGAAAAUGCAUAUAUACUCGUCACAUUACAUAUACGUCGUCCCCGUAUAUAAUACACGUAGAGAAUAGAACAACAAGUCCUAAUCCCUCUAGUCAGAGUUAACCAUGACACAUAACUCAUUCAUAAUCAAUUCAAGGUACAACUGCGACUCUUCCUUUCGAAUUAGCCUCCAAACCGACCAAAUCUAACAGAACUCAUAGAUUAAAGGUUAAAAUCAAUGGGCGUUUAUGAAAAACAUAAUGAAACAAGUUAAAAUGUAAUAACCAAUGAAAUGGGAAAGAAAAACCUCUUCAAAAUCGCCUCAACGCCGAGCUCAAACUUGAAAAUGGUGAAAAAUGAAGAAAAUCCCGACUUUGGAAUGUUUUAAAUCAUUAGGGUUAGGUGUUCCUCGUGUUCGCGAAGCACCUUACACGAUCGCUAAGCACAGUGGCCAAAAGGCCUUCGAGUUCACAAGCUACCCUUCAAGUUCGCGAAGGUUUACUCCCCAAGCCUUCACGUUCGCGAGCCAAGGAACGUCAUGAAAGUAACGGACACCCCCCCUCCCUAGAUCUUCACAAGCUUCAUGUUUACAAAAGGUAAACCCUCUCUACCUCGUGUUUGCGAAGAAGAAAUUUCACUGCAGCUCAACUUUCCCUUUGCGAUCCCGAGAGUAGCUUUUCAACCGGGAGAGUAGCUUUGCGAUUGUGUAGCACAAAGUACCAGACACUAGCAAUAACUGAACACUAGCAAAUUUCUACGCCCAAAAUGGUAUGUAGCCUAUCUAAAACUCACCUGAGCCUCUUAGGCUCCAAACAAACAUGAACACAAUAUUAAUAAUAUCAUACAAACUCGCUUGGUGCAGUCAAAACACCAAAAUAACACCUAGAACUACGAAUUAGAUGUCAAAAUGCAUGAAACUUCAAAGAAAACUCAAGAACUUCUAAACUCACAACUAAGAAUUAGAAUCCUAUCAAACCAACAUCGCUCAAAAUGUGUAGACAAGUUUUAAAUAGCAAAACAAACCUAUACCAAGUCCUAGAACUAAAACCCGAAUGUCCUAACCAUAAAAUCAACAUACAGUCAAAUCUAGGAAUUAUCAAACCUUCAAAUUACUAGCUUUCUACAAAACAAGUCAAAUAAUGUUAGGGAGUUUUGAAUUUAUCUCCAGGCAUACAUCUAAGUCCAAAAUCACGAUACAGAUCCACCAAAAUUGUCAAAAUACCGAUCCAGAGUUGUUUAUACAAAAUGUUGACCGUAGUCAACUUAAGUUGUUUUUAAACCAAAAAUCAUAUUUUCUUAAAAUUUUCAAAUAAAAUCUUUCCAAAAAGACACAGAUUGUGCACAUAAAUCGAGAAAUACUAAACGCAGCUAAUAGAGGUAUCAAAACAUAGAAAUAAGGGUUAGUACUGAAAACGGUCUUCGGAUCAUCACAUUAUCUACCUCUAAAAGAAACGUUUGUCUUCGAUUGGAAAUAAAAAAGUACCAGGACUAGUGAAAAGUUGUGGGUAUCUACUCAGCAUAUUAGACUCGGACUCCCACGUAGCUUCCUCAAUCAGCUGACCUCUCUAUUGCACAUUACUAUAAUGAUAACUCUUAGACCUCAACAUUUGGACUUGCUGGGCUAGAAUAGCCAUCACUCCUCCUCAUAAGUCAAAUCCUUGUCCAAUUGGAAUGAGCUGAAUUCCAAUACAUGGGACAGAUCACCAUGAUACUUUCAGAGUAUGGAAAUAUGGAACACCAGAUGAACUACCAAUAAGCUGGGUGGUAAUGCGAAUCCGUAGGCCACCUCACCAACUCUCUCAAGGAUCUCAAAAGGACUAAUACACCUAGGGCUCAACUUGCCAUUAUUUCUACACCUCAUCACACCUUUCAUAUAUGAAACCCUAUGAAAAAACCUCUUUCCCACCAUGAAUGCUACAUCACGAGCCCUCAGAUUAGCGUAACUCUUAUGCCUAAACUAGGUUGUACGAAGCCGAUCUUGAAUCAACUUGACUUUCUCUAAGCAUAGCCUCUACUAGCUCAAACCAACCAACUGGAGAAUGACAUUGCCUCAUAUGUAAGGCCUUACAAGGAGCCAUCUGAAUACUCAAUUGGUAGUUAUUAUUGUAGGAAAACUUCGUAAGUAGUAAGAACUGAUCCUAAGAACCCCCAAAAUUCGUAACACAAUCACAUCACAUGUCCUCCAAGAUUUGAAUUGUAUGCUCGGGAUGCCCGUCUAUCCGGGGUUGAAAUGAUGUACUCAACUCAACCCGUGUACCUAACUCCCGCUAUAUAGUUCUCUAGAAAGGUGAUGUGAAUUGUGUGCCUCAUUCGGAGAUAAUAGACACUGAUACACUGCUGAGACGAACAAUCUCCGAGAUAUAGAUUUAAUCCAACUGCUCUAAAGAAUAGGCAGUCACCACCAGAAUGAAAUUUGCCAACUCAGCCAACCUAUCCACAAUGACCCAUACUACGUCAACUUUAUUCAAAGUCCAUUGGAGCCUAACAAUGAAAUCUAUGGUAAUAUGCUCCCACUUCCACUCGGGAAUCUCAAGUCUUUCAAGUAAUCAAACGUGGAUCUAAUGCUCGUACUUCACGUGCUGAAAAUUUAAAUAUCGAGCCACAUACUCCACUAUAUCUUUCUUCAUUCAUAUCUACCAAUAGUGUUGCUUUAAAUCUUGAUACAUCUUGGCAGCACCCAGAUGAAUGGAAUACCGUGAACUGUGAGCUUCCUCAAGAAUCAAUUCACAUAACCCAUCCACAUUGGGCACUCUGUCGCGCCUUAUUUUCUCGCGAGAAUGGGUUUUGAUGUGUGACAACUCUUUUAAAGUGAGGUAUUAAAAGAGAAGAGUCUCUACCUAACGAUUUUAAGGUGUGUUAGGACACCUAUUUGUGAAUAACUCUAUUUGAUAGUCAACGCCACCAAAGAUCGUUAAGGACUCAAAUUACUUCAACGAUAAGGUGUUAGGCACACUUCGAGGUCCACAACUAUGGGUCCUGGUCAAAUUUUAAACUAUGUGGAUUAUGUAAUUAAGCUAGGUGAUCAAAUAAGCAAAGAAAAAUAUGGAGAUUGAAAUUCUUAUUAUAACACAUAAAAAUAAAUAAUCGGUACAAAUCUUAAAGAUUACAAGUGUACAACUGCAUUGGCCUAUGUUAAAUGACCAAGUGUAGAUGGCAAGUAUAUAAAUAAAUGGGGGUCCUAAGUUUAUUAUCCUAAAGGAUCACCCCGUGUAACAUAAAUAAUACUUCACAACUGCUUAAGGUAGGGGUUGCUCGUAUUAUUCGGCGGGCAUAAAUUAUCAUCUCUUGCUACCCUAUUACUAUGUUGAAGUUGUUACUUAAAGGCGUUCUAGUUCAAUUCUAAAUCGUAUCAUAUGUGUGCACUACCCAUCCCAUGCUUAUGGUCCAUGAGGCUUUGGACCUACUACUAGGUGGUUCUAGACUCAACUUAGGCUGCUCAAAAUGAUAAAUCCAAGCGACAUUAAAAACAUAUAGGACUUCACAUAAAGGCAAUUAAAGACCCAAGUUACCCUCCACACAUAAACAACAAAUGCACGCAUGUAGUUUAGGCAGUAGAUAGUUUCAAAAUUAAGACUUAGAGUCCUAUAGGCGUUGUUUCUAGAUGAUUCCAGUAUUGCAUAUGCAACGUUAGUGUUCUCUCUACAUAGUUUAGGCUAGGAGGCGGUAAACUGUUGCAAACUAAGAAUUAUCUGUGUUGACUUUACAAAUAGCCAUCUUAGGCUGGUGACACUGUCCUAUAGGCAUGAUUUCUAGUAGUGGAAUAACUUAGGAAAUGAAACAGCCUUGAAAGUCUAGAAUUAACAAUGCUGAUCUCCUAAACAAUUUUAAGCAAGUGACAACAUCCUAUAGGCGAGAUUUCUAACAAUUGACAAUUAGACAUAAUUUUUAUAACACAUUAUUCCUAUAGGCAUAUCAUCUACGUGGGGCAAUGUAAUGAAAACAAUAGAAGUAGUUGACUAGAAGAUUAUAAUCCUAUUGUCAUGAUAUCUAGAUAGGCAAUACACUAAAAGUAAUAGAAGCAAUUGACCGUUGAUUAUUCGAAGUCCUAUAGGCAUGGUAGAUAGGUUAACAAAAUCAAGUUAUACAUCUUAUAGGCAUGUUGUCUAAAUGCACAGUAAUAUCAUAUAAAUCAAGUAUAUCGAUUACUAACAUGUUUGAGAUAGUGUACGAGCAUUAGAAAAAUUAGGUGAGGUGUGCAGACAACACAAAAUGUAGUGUGGCCGCAGUGGCAAACUUCAGAGAGUUGUAUUUUUACUCUUUCUUUAGUGCGGUCCGCACAUAAUGGACUGCAGCCGCACUGAUAACUUCAUAGACCUGAUCAUUUUUCCCCACUAUGUCCUGCAUUGCAUCAACCCAAUCCUGUAACAUCUCACAACCAGUCAGCCCAAAUAUCAAUCCUACACUACAAUGAAAAUCAAAUAAAAAGAAGAACAAAAACACAUGGGUUGCCUCCCAAGAAGUGCCUGAUUUAACAUCGCGGCACGACGUAUGUUACCAUCCAAUCAUUUGAAAUGAUCAACAGCCACCGUAUGGUUAUCAUCAAACUUCCCCAAAUAGUGUUUGACUUUAUGCCCAUUCACUCUAAAAACUUCCCCACGUUUGUUCUUUAAAUCAAGAGCACCAAAAGGGUUCACAUACACCACUUCAAAUGGUUCGCUCCACUUUAACUUUAGCUUUCUCGGGAACAACCUUAGCUGAGAAUUGAAUAAGAGCACAAAAUCUCCCACCUUGAACUCGUUUACCCAAGUAUAUUUGUCAUGAAGGUAUUUCAUUUUAUCCUUAUAGAGGGAUGAACUAGAGUAGGCAUGGAACCUAAAUUCAUCAAGUUCAUUGAGUUGUCCACCCGAAGCAGCUAUAUCCCAAUCAAGAUUCAACUUCUUUAAGGCCCACAUGGCCUUAUGCUCUAGCUCUACUGGUAGAUGACAUGCUUUCCCAAAUACCAAUCGGUACGGCGACAUACCAAUUGGAGUCUUGUAAGCAGUUUGGUAAGUCCAUAGAGCAUCAUCCAACUUUUUAGACCAAUCGGUCCUAUUGGGAUUGAUGGUUUUGGACAAAAUUCUCUUGAUCUCCCUAUUGGACACUUCCACCUGGCCACUUGCUUGAGGAUGAUAAGGCGUAGACACUUUGUAGUUGACACCACACUUGAAAAGCAAGGCAUCAAAAGCUCUAUUACAAAAAUGCAAUCCUCAAUCACUAAUAAUUGCCCAAGGAGUGCCAAGCCUUGUGAAAAUGCUCCUAUUUAGAAAUUCCACCAUACUCGUAGCUUCAUUGUUGGGCAAGGCAAUGGCCUCAACCCAUUUUGAGACAUAAUCAACCGCUACAAGAAUGUAUUUCUGCAUGAACUUACAAAAGGGUCCAUAAAAUCGAUACCCUAUACAUCAAAGGUAUCCACUUUGAGAAUGGCAUUUAGAGGCAUCUCAUCUUUCUUGGAAAUACCGCCCGCUCUUUGACAUUAAUCACACCUUUUUACGAGAUCACUUGCAUCUUUGAACAAGGUUGGUUGAUAAAAAUCACAACUCAGAACUUUUGAAGUUGUCCUCUCCCCUCCAUGAUGGCCGCCAUAGGAGAGGAAUAACAAGCCUCUAGGAUGCUAAAUUGCUCCUCCUUAGGUACACACCGCCAGAUGACUCCGUCGGUGCAAAUCUUGAACAAGUAUGGCUUGUCUCAAUAGACUAUCCCGUUUGAGCUUCUUCCUUUGGUUAGAAGAGAGCUCACACGGAAUGAUGUGUCACAAGGAAAUUAGCAAUGUCUGUAAACCAUGGAAUAUCACUCAUCGACACAAAAAGUAGCUACUCAACGGGAAAUGCAUCAUUGAUCUCUAGGUCAUCACAUGGCCUUCCUUCCUCCUCCAAGCAGAACAAAUGAUUCGGCACUUGGUUUUUCUUACCUUUCCGGUCAACUAUCUCCAAAUCAAAAUCUUGAAAUAAUAAGACUCAUCACAUUAGUCUAGCUUUGGAGUAUUUCUUUGUCAUCAUGUAUCUAAAGGCUGCAUGAUCGGUGUGCACUAUGACUUUGGCUCCCAUAAGAUAUGGCCGAAAUGUUUCCAUUGCGAACACAAUAGCCAACAAUUCUUUCUCAGUUACUGUGUAGUUCCUUUGAGCUUCAUUCAUUGUUUUUAUUUCAUAGUACACCAGAUAAAAUAGUUUGUUCACUCUUUGACCAAAAACAUCCCCAACCACAACAUCACUCGCGUCGCACAUGAGCUCGAAAGGCAAGCUCCAAUUAGGUGCGUUAAUGAUUGGGGUAGUGGUCAACUUAAUCUUGAGAAGUUCAAAGGCUUGCAUACAUCUCUUAUUAAACACAAACUUUGUAUUCUUUUCUAGCAACUUACACAAAGGAUUAACUACCUUCGAAAAGUCCUUGAUAAGUCGUCGGUAGAACCCCGCAUAUCCAAGAAAGUUUCUAACCCCCUUAACAAAAGUGCGGGGGGGAGGGGGGAGGGAGGAAGUCUUGAAAUCACCUCAAUUUUAGCGUUGUCAAUCUCAAUACCAUUCUUUGAAAUUUUAUGACCCAAAACUAUGCCCUCUUCAACCAUGAAGUGGCAUUUUCUCCAAUUUAGCAUAAGAUUUGUGUCUUCACUCCGGGCCAAAACUCUAUCCACAUUGUUCAAACACUCAUCAAAUGAAUCUCCUACAACACUGAAGUCGUCCAUGAACACCUUCAAAAUAUCUUCCACCAUAUCAGUGAAAAUGGCCAUCAUACACCGUUGGAAUAUUGCCGGUGUAUUGCAUAACCCAAAUGGCAUCCGAGAGAAAGCAAAGGUGCCAUAUGGACAAGUAACGGUUGUCUUCUUCCGAUCCUCGUGAGCCAUCAAAAUUUGAUUGUACCAUGAAUAACCAUCCAAGAAACAAUAUAAGGCACGCCCACAAGACGAUCAAGCAUCUAGUCUAUGAAGGGUAAUUGGAGAUGAUCCUUGCGGAUCACCUUGUUCAGCUUGCCGCAGUCCAUGCAUACUCUCCAUUCGGUCACUGUCCGAGCUAGAAUAAGUUACCACGGUCAUACCACCCUUCUUCGGCACACAUUGCACCGGAGAAGUUCAUGCGCUGUCAAAGAUAGGAUACACCACACCGGUAUCUAACCACUUGAUCACCUCUUUUUUUACAACUUCUUGCAUAGCCUCGUUCAACCUCCUUUGAUGUUCCAAGGAGGGUUUUGCAUCAUCUUCCAGAAUAAUUUUGUGUAUACAGAACGCGAGGCUUAUUCCUUGAAUAUUAGCUAGAGUCCAUCCAAUUGCCUUUUUCUACUUUUUGAGCAUAGCCAAUGUGGAAUCUACUUGCAUGUUAGUAAAGAAAGAGGAAAGAAUAACUGGUAAAGUUGAAUAGCCCAGGAAUCCAUACCUGAGGUGUGGAGGUAAUGGCUUCAAUUCCAACACCGGAGGUUCCUCAAUUGAAGGCUUUAUUAGAGGGGUCUUUCUAUUUUCAAGAUCCAAAGAGAGUUUCCUAGGCUCAUAAGAAUAAGAUCCUAUUCCAUGUAAAGCAUUCACGCACUCCACUCGGCCCAUAUCAUCAUUGAUGUCAAGAUUCAACAAUACGACCUCCAAAGGUUCCUCAACAUUGAUCAUUUCACUAGUAUCAUCUAUUAUCACAGUCGAGACUAGAUCCACAAAUGAGCAUACUUAUGUACAAUUGGGCUGCUUCAUUGAUUUGCACAUAUGAAAAGCGACCUUUUCAUCACCCACUCUGAAAGUAAGUUCCCAUGCUUCCACAUCUACUAGAGCCUUUCCCGUAGCAAGGAAAGGUCUCCCCAAUAUGAUCGAAGCUUCAUAGUCUACCUCACAAUCCAAGAUCACAAAAUUAGCUGGCAAGAUAAAUUUGUACACCCAGACAAGCACAUUAUCAACUAUACCCAAUGGUUGCUUCAUUGAUCUAUCUGCCAUUUACAAUCUCAUGGAAGUUGGCCUUGGUGGACCAAUGCCCAAAGUUUUGAAAAUUGAGUAGGGCAUCAAAUUGAUACUAGCCCCUAGGCACAAAGCUUUAGCAAAGUUUGCACUCCCAAUAGUGCAAAGGAUUGUGAAAGCACCGGGAUCCUCAAACUUUGGAGCCAUUGAAUGUACUAUAGACCUAACUUGGUAGGUCAUCUUGAUAGUUUCACAGUCCAUGGAUCUUUUCUUUGUAACUAAAUCUUUCAUGAAUUUAACACAGCCAGGCAUUUGCUCCAAAGACUUUACCAAAUGCACAUUGAUGAAUAGGCUUUUCAUCAUGUUAAUGAACUUUUUAAGCUGAUUCUCAUUCUUCUCCUUGGCUAGCCUUCAAGGAUAAGGUGGAGGGGGCGUAGGCAAGGGUGCCUUGGCUUUUGGCACAACCAGCUCCGGCAUGUCAAUUACAUGUUCCCUAGAGGGGUUCAUGUCAUUUUGCAUUUCCACCUCGGCAUCUUGAAUAGCAAUCCUCACUUCUUGAUUCAGAUUCUCAUCAACAACAUUCUCAACCACCAAUAGAACUUCAUCUUCUAGCAACUCAACUUCAUCACGCAAAACUUGCUUUUGUUUGGAGGCAUUCACAUUACCGUCUCUUCCACUCCUUGUAGUUACCUCCAUAACAUGAUUGUUCCCACCAUUCGGGUUCACUACCGUUUCACUUUUGUAGAGCACCCUUAGGGCGUGUAUUCAAGGACUGAGAGAUUUGACGUAGUUGCACCUCCAAAUUCUUAAUUGAAGUAUUGUGAGAAGCCAAUUGCGCAUCAAAAUCCACAUUCUUUUUCAUAAUUUGUCUGAACAUCAUUUCAAUUCUACCCAUUUCAUUGUUGGAUGAACUAGGACCCUAGGAUGGAAAAGGAGGUGGAUAGUUCGAUUGCUGGUACAUUGGGGGCCUUUGAAAGCCUUGCCCCUGAUUUCUUUGGUUAUUGUUCCAUCCAUCUUGGUUGUUGUUGUUUCCACCCUAAUUGUUGUUGUUUCCCUAUUUUCCUUGAUUGUUCCGAUUGUUAUUUUGAUUUUCCCAGUUGUUGUUCCCUUGAUGUUGAUUAUUCCAAUUAUUGUUGCCUUGUUGUUGAUUUUUCCAAUUACCCUGGGAUCGCUAUUGUUGUUGUUGGUUGGAAGAAUUGCCUUUUUGUCCUUGGUAAUUAUUCACAUAUUGCACCUCUUCAUUCUUCCCAUCAUAAUAAUCAUCUUGGAAUCCAGUACAAUAUUGUCAAAUUGAUCUGAAUUCUCUUGGUUCUGUUGACCUCUCUAUCUUCUAUUGUUCACAAGCAUGUUAACACCAUCCAUGGCAUUCACUUAGCAAGGAUUCUGAACUUGUUGCAACUGUGCCUUUGCUAAUUGAUUCAUUUUGUUGUAAGUUCUGCUAUUGCAUGUCCAUGGUCAUGUAGUUCCUUGUGCAAACGAGUGACCGCGCGGUCACCCUGAGGCACAUUGGCUCUACUUUGCCAAGAGGAGGACGUGUCAGCCAUUUCAUUAAUAAUCUUAUAAGCUUCAUCAUAAGGAAGUUUUAUGAAAUCACCCCCACAUUUACUAUGCAUCGAGUCAUUGUAUUGAUGCCCCGAUAGAAGGUUUGUUGUAUCACUGCCUAUGUCAUAUCAUUGUUGGGGAAUUCCUUCACUAUAGUUCUAUAUCACUCCCAAAUAUCAUGCAAUGGUUCGGUAAGCUCCUUCUUGAAGGCUAAGAUCUCAUCUUGUAGUGCUGCCAUGUGCCCUGGUGAGAAAAAUUUGGCAAUGAACUUAUCUGCCAACUCAUCCCAAGUUGUGAUGGAAUGAUUGGGAAGUCGCUCAAGCCAAUCCAAUUCUUUCCCCCUAAGUGAGAAAGGAAAAAACCUCAAUCGAAGUGUAUCCUCAGACAUAUUGGUUUGCUUGCUUCCCCAACAGGUAUCUAUGAACCAUUUGAGAUGUUUGUAAGCAUUCUGAGUGGGAGCACCCGAAAAGUACUCAUGCUGCUCAAACAAUGUCACCAUCGCGUUGGAAAUUUGAAUAUUUCCUGCCCGGAUCCAGGGAGAAACAAUUGCCCUCGCAUAGCCUUGGUUGGGAAGAACUCUAGGAUCCACCCUUGGAGGUGGCGGAGGAGGGUCUGGAAUAUUGUUAUUUGCAUUGGCCUGUCGGCCUCUACAUUAUCCUUGAGGUACAAGAGGCACCUCUUCAUCUCUAUCGUCAUCUACCUCCUCCUCACGUUCACAUUUCCAAGACGGUCAUUAGCAUUUAAAGCCAUUUUUGUACCUGAAGUAUUGACACACACAAAUUAGUAACAAAAAAGAAAGAAGAACCAAACAUGAAUCUAUCUAGAUAGAUAGCCAAAACUGUUAGCUCCCCGACAACGGCGUCAAAAAGUGAUCGCGGCCUACUCUGCACUAUUAAUUAAGUAGGAAUGGAGGGUCGGAGCAGCUUUUACCCGAUUUAGGGUCGGGAUCAAUAUCCACAGAGAGAUAGAAUUUGGAAUUGAGUAUCUAUCUAGUGUAGAGUUACGUAUGUGUUCCAAAUUACAAUUCUAUUUAUUUUUGUGUUUACUUCUAAUAUUAUAAAGCUACAAAUGGUAAAUGAAACUAGAUUAAGCUAAUAGUUAUAAUGUUACGGGUUGUUCAGAUGGUUUAAAAGGCACUAGGGUAGUGACUUCCGCCUAAGUGAUCAAUUGACGGGUACUUGAAUCAAAGGCACGUUUGGCAUAUUUGGGGAGUAUGAUAUAACCGUUGCACGACUUUACCCACUCUACACCUCUCGGUGGUUCGAGUGAUUUUGUCCGCAUUGACUUUCUCAAGACCAAUUGGGUAUGUAAAUAUGCACAAGCAACUACGGUUCAAGUCGGAUAUUACUCUCUCGAGGUUUAACCCUUUAAUUGAGGCUAUCAAUCUCUUGGGUACGCCCCAAUUCCUUGUUGGACCAAUUUUGGAGACUUAGGUUCUCUUUCUCAAGAAGAGCCCAAGCCAACUUAAACACAAACUAGUGUUUGCAACCACUAAUUCAGCAAUUAACCAUGAAAUUUUCCCAAAUAUCAAACUUCCAUAGUCAAUUUAGCCCUAAAAUACAAGAUGCAUCAAUUGUCCAUACUAGGCCUGAAUUGUCUUUCUUAAGACCAACUGGUAUGCAAAUUUGUACAAGCACAAGUCAGAUAUUACUCUCUCGAGGUUUAACCAUUUAAUUGGGGCUAUCAAUCUCUUGAGUAUGCCUCAAUUCCUUGUUGGACCAAUUUCGGAGACUAGGCACUCUUUCUCACAAAGAGCUCAAGUCAACUCAAUACAAACUAGUACUUGCAACCACUAAUUCAGCAAAUUACCAUGAAAUUGGUCCAAAUAACAAACACCCAUAGUCAAUUUAACCCUAAAUUACAAGACCCAUCAAUUGUCCAUGCAAGGGUUGAUCCACAACCCUAACUUAUGGGUCUAGCUACUGAUAUUUAGAGAAAAAAAGCAAGAAAUAGAUGGAGAAAAACUCAUAUUAUUUAAUCACUAAGUUAAACACAAAGAUUCAAUGAUUAAAAGUAGCUAAAAUUUCCCAAAAUAGCUAAGAAUCUCGAACCCAUGAGUGCAGUUGUUUAAUUACAAUAUCUGAUACCUAAAAAUGAAAAAAGAAGCUAUUUAUAUUAGGCUAAAAAUUUGGAUAAAUUCCCCUGCGGGGUUAGUGCGGACUACACAAAAUGGACCGCGAGUCCACACUAGGAUAUGGAGUUGAAAAAUAGCUCUCUGCACCUAGGCAUCGCGGACCGCAAAGAACGGGCUGGGGCCACGGAGGCUUCUAGUGCGGUCGGCACAAAAUGGACAGCGGACCGCAUUGACUUGAAAACUCAAAACUGGCAUUCUCUGAAUCUUGGCUCUGCAGACCGCACAGAAUCAAGUGUGGCCAUAUUAGUCUUAGUGCGGACCGCACAAAUCCUAGUGUGGUCGUAUGUGCGGACCGCACAAAUCCUAGUGUGGUCGUAUUGCCUUUUUGCCUUGGAAUCAACCUCUCUAAAUCUCCUAGUGCGGACCGCACAAAGUGGUGUGCGGAUGCACUGGGCCUAUUUUGCCUGAUUUUAUCUUGUCUUUGGCACUUGUGCAAGUUUCACUCCUUUUGAGCUGAUCUUUGACAUCUUAUCCUUUUGUUGAUCAAACCUGCAAUCAAGUACAACUUGUGAGCCUUUUUGGACCUAUUUGGUAUGAAUUUCUAAUCAAAGCAUAAGCAAGAAGGAAUAUAAAAUGUGUCAAAAUUCCUAGUUAUCAGUUUCCUUAGAGAAGAAGAGAGUAAAAAGGAUUCAAGGGCGACCGCCUCAAAAGAUGGGGCUAGGGUUUGGGCGAGUGGAUAUAAAGAAAGGUGGGGGAUUUAUUAUGGACCAUUGAUCAUUUGAGAAAAACGCCAAGAUCAAAGGGAAACGGGGCGGGUCAUUUACACGGGUGAUGACCGGUUCAUUAAAAGGGUUGUCUGGUUUGGGCUUGGGGAUAUUGGGCUAGGUUUUGGAUCCGAAAAUAACUCAAAAUUGUUCUAAAUAUUUGAAUACAUGAAAACUAUAAAAAAUAAUUUAUAAGAGGUAAUUAAAAAAUAAUUAAAAAAUUAUUUAUGUAGUAAGAUGGUUAAAACUAAUAGUUUACAUUAUAAGAACAUACAACAUUAACUACCCAGUAUAGUCCCACAAAGUGGGGUCUGGGGAGGGUAAUAUCUAGACGGGCCUUACCCCUACACGAAAGGGCAGAGAGGCUAUUUCCAAUCGACCCUCGGCUCGGUGAAGGAAAGGAACAACAAAAACAAAAACAUCAACAAAAGAGCAUUAGUAGCUUCAGCAGAAAUAGCGUAAAUAAUUAUCUAAACAUAAGAACCNNNNNNNNNNNNNNNNNNNNNNNNNNNNNNNNNNNNNNNNNNNNNNNNNNNNNNNNNNNNNNNNNNNNNNNNNNNNNNNNNNNNNNNNNNNNNNNNNNNNNNNNNNNNNNNNNNNNNNNNNNNNNNNNNNNNNNNNNNNNNNNNNNNNNNNNNNNNNNNNNNNNNNNNNNNNNNNNNNNNNNNNNNNNNNNNNNNNNNNNNNNNNNNNAAAAACUCUAGGGGCCCCUAUCCUACAACCCUGAUACUAGACCUCCAGAAUUUCCUAUCAAGGGCCAUGUCCUCAUAAACCCGCAUUCUAGCCAUGUCAUGCCUAAUCAGAUCUCCCCAAUACCUCUUAGGCAUCCCUCUGCCUCGCCGAGCGCCGACCAUCGCCAGCCACUCACAACUCCUCGCCGGGGCGUCAGGACUUCUCCUCCAUACAUGCCCGAACCACCUCAGCCUCGCUUCUCGCAUCUUCGCAUCCACCGGGGCCACCCCCACCUUCUCUCGAAUAACUUCAUUCUUAAUCUUAUCUAACCUGGUGAGCCCGCACAUCCACCUGAGCAUCCUCAUCUCCGUAACCUUCAUCCUCUGAACAUGAGAGUUCUUCACUGGCCAGCACUCCGCCCCAUACAACAUGGCCGGUCUAACUACAACUCUAUAAAAUUUCCCCUUGAGUUUCUGUGGAACUUUAUCGUCACACAGGACUCCUGAUGCAAGCCUCCACUUUGACCACCCCGACCCUAUACGAUGAGUGACGUCCCCGUCAAUCUCUCUGCCCCCCUGAAUCACCGACCCGAGAUAUCUGACACUGUCCCUCUUGGCUAUGACCUGAGAUCCAAUCAUCACGUCCCUGCCUACUUCGCUCGGCUCAACGCUAAACUUACACUCCUGGUAUUCUGUCUUAGAUAUGCUUAUUUUGAAACCCUUAGACUCGAGAGUCUGUCUCCAUACCUCUAACCUCUCAAUAAC